UAUUCUCAUUUAGUAAGGCCCUCUCUGGCUACUUUGGCUAUAGUUGGUCAGGGCCGUUUAUUCCGGAAUUUUGUCAGGUACGCCUCACUGGCGAAGGGAGGCAUUUUUUAUAGGUUCGAUUUUAGGGGCAUUGCGAUUUUGUAUGUCGUUUCUAUCCGUAUCUAGACCACAACUCCAGAAUUUUUGCGUGGGGAGUUCAAUUUUUGGUGGAUUCAUAGACACAGCGAUGAGGAUUUUUGUGUUUUCUGCAGUCGAUAUUUUACCUAUAUGCACUAUAUGAACUAUAUGAAAAUAGAUACGACUUUGUUUCAGGGUUCCCAUUUCAAAUCCAGCUAGUGCAGUUUUAAUUUUUGGUGAAUAUAUACAGGGGGAAAGUUGACGAUUUGUUGCGCUUUUCUGCGAUUGCAAUGAUAACCAGAUUUCCCCAUAUCUAUUAUAUAAAUCGAAGUAUCACCAUGUGAUGAGGUGUUUGAGUGUGACGUCAUAUAUGUAAACAAUUCUGUUUUAUGUAUAAUUUUAAGAAUGUAAUAUCAUGAGAGAAAUACCUGUGAACAAACUUGACAACACGUUCGAUUUAUUUAGUAAGCUGCUCAUUUAGAGUAGAGCGACACAAGUGUGAUCCAAAGUAUCGGUCCUGUGAUCCGUGAGAAUGUAAAUCAAAGCUUGCAUUAUGUUGGCUAGUGGUAGGCCUAUGAACGUUUCAUAUUACAAACACAUAAUUUUGGUGCACCAGCGUGUUAAGUCUCACAACAUCGGAUUUUGCCCUCAAAUCAAUGAUGGUUGGUUUUACCCAUGAUCACUCACUUUGAUUUUCUCAGAUCAUUUAGGCCUACUCAUGAUGAGAGGAGUUAAUGCCCUCCUAGAUAGCCCCUCUCUGUGGCCUCAUAGGCCAGUGGCCUGGUAACGAGAGUAUUUGGUAUCUUAUUCAAUAACACAAGUGAACGGUUUGGCUGGGCGCCGAAUACGCUAUUUUACAGCGGCGAAGAAGUCGUUUACUCUGACUUCAAUGUGUUGCCACUCAUGCGUUCCCUACCGGCUCUUCUUUUUGCCGGCACUGGUCAAUGAGACGUAAUUUUAUUUUAUUAAUUCAUGGUCCAGGAAUAAAAUUAGGUCACGUAGGAUAGCCUCGCUUUCGAUCAGUCGAGGGCAUUGACAUGGACUUGGGGUUAUUGACUUACGCCUUGUGAGUAGGAACGCUUUGGAGUUAUUUUAAUCCAAGGUCGUGGGAGUAUUGCCCUGCUGCUGCUGGUCCCUCAAACCAUGACAACCGGUACAGAUAAACUUAUAAACUGUUGCAAUGGAAAAAAAAGAAGAACAGAAUGCAGAAAUAAGGCACUUACAUACAUGUAUAAAACUGACAUGUAGUAAGUGGGCGCUGUAUUUCACCAUUUAAAUCAGUAAACAUUUUGUCUUAAUGAUCCGGAAAAUAGAUCAUCGUACAUCACGCUGUAAGCUUAAAAUAACUGAAUUAAUACAUAUCUGUAGGCCUAUUUGUUUUCUUUUUCGAAUGUCGUGUCAAGAGGAAUUAUCUUUGCCAUGGAUUUGAUGCACUACAUGUGCUGUUGCCUGGCUCCUUUGCUGCUAUGGGCAAGGGGACAGGAAGCAGGGUUCUGGGGAUCGCUUGCAUCGCACAUUUCUGUUGGAAAACUACCCUAAAUGCCAGGGAUCGAAGUCGGGGAAGCUGUCGGAAGAGACGAGGGAUAAAAAAAUGUCUGUCGACUCCGAGCGAGCACCAAACGAGACCAUGAGGAAAAAUCCACAGGCAUCGUACCGGAAAAUUGUCGUCACAGACGGAGUUCUGUCGGAAUCACGACGGAAAAGGAAGGCAGCUCCGUACAAGAAACCGUGCAAAGAUUCCGGCAAAUGUACUCCGGAACCAACGCUCUGCAAAGCGUGCGGUAACAUUCCUAAACCCCAAAGAAACACCGAGGAAGACAGCGAAACGUCGAAGGAGACAUCGCCAUCAUACUGUGUCGGACUUCACUUUCUCAACACAAGCCGAUCUUCUUCCAGUCUCAGCAACGGUCCGCUGAAACAGAAAAACGGUGACUGUCGACAGUUAGCCCCGCCCGGAACACGAUUUCUCAGAGUCCUUGACAUUGUUGAACAUCAGAUUUCCAAGAACUUCGUGUAACGCUGACCCAAACAAUUUCCUUUUGUCGUAUGAGGUUGACUCUUGUGUAUGGUUUACCAGUGACACAGAGGUGACUCUUGGUGCAUGAAUAAGCUCGGCGAGGACUCCAUGGACUGAAUUGACUCCAGUGACUCUGGUGUCUGUGUCGGAGUAGAUUGUGAAGAAAAAAUGGUGGUGUUAUCGUCUGUGACGUCGUCAAGGAUGUACUCCCUCAACGGUGUGCCCCAACUCCUGCGCUCGUGGGUGAAGUUGGGCCGAGGGGUGAGAAUUGGAGGGCGAGGAGGGGGCCAGCCUACCCGGUUAACAGUAUGUUUACAUCCAUCUCCCCAGAAAACGUUGAUACGAAGACAUCUGAAGCUUUGCUCAACUUCCAAGUGAUUCGGCUCACUAUCUUGUGAUCAUCAUUUAUAAUGUUGACUCAUUUUUAUCAAAUACUUUUAUCUCAACUUUUUCAACCACCAAAGCACUUUUUUUUCUGCGGAAUUAAUGCAUAUAAUCAUUUUUGAAAAUGACGCUAAAAAUGAUACCUUUGUGUCGUUGAAGAUGCAAGCUUUAUAAAAGCAUGCAAAUUAUUUCACUCAAAAUGUUUGAAAAUAUAGGUUGCAGAGGUGGUUGAAAAGGUUGAAGAAGUAGGGUAUGUUUAUGAGCCAUUUUGACAUAUCUUCAUGCGUCAUUUUUUUACCAACAUUAAAACCAGAAAGUGUCCAACUUUCUGGUAUUUGGUCGCGCACGUGCACAAAACAGUAACCUCCAGUAGUCAUUUGGUCAUCUUCACGUUGUGUUCUGAAAACAAAGCACAUUUGUAACAUUUUUUCUGAUUACUUUUCUUUACCAAGAAGGGCCUAUUCAGCGUAUGUCAGUUCUUCACACCAGGCGCAGUUGUAUCAGAUGUUCAUAUAUUUGUGAUCCUUAUGCUAGACGUUGUCUAUAAUAAGGACAUGGGAAGGGAGCUAACUUGAUGAGCGCAGUGGCUUUACGAGAAUUUCACAUACGCAUGGGGUUGUUUUGUUUUCAACCGAACAUCUGCAUCUGUCAACUCAUCUAUCAGUAUUUUAUCAUUAUUUGCAUCAGUGGUUGUCGACGUCACAGGCGUUACGUCAUCAAAAGUGUCUUUAACAACAUAGACCAUGAACUCAAGAGAACUGACUGUCUUUAUUAAGCGUACAAGAUGCAAAUGUGUCAUUUUCAACCGUGUGCAUCAUACGAGAGAAACAGUUCAUACUACUUUACUUAACCAAGAAGACAAAGAGGUUUUAUGGCAUUCUCAUCACCAUGAUUUUAGCCACUGUUAACUUUUAGGAUUAAGUCAAAUCUGACGACUAGUUCUCAACAGAUGUAUAUUUCUGACUCAUUUCUUUUUAGGCAUAGAUCGCUGUUGUGUUGAUCACAACGUUGUUCUUUCCUUUUUUGUGUAAAUGUCUCCACAAAUCGCAUCGACUUCUAACUCGGAGUACGGAACAGGCUAGCAUACACGCAGUUCAAAAUCAUCUGCGAUUCCUGGCGUAUAAUGAAAUGCAUAUCUGUUAUGACUUAUAUGUGUACAUGACAACUGCAAUCAAAACUGUUAAAGACGUCCUUGAGUUUCGUUUUACCGUUAAGUGAUAAGUUAGUGCUAAAUGCAAACUCGAGGACAGGCCACACUUUUGCAAAAUGCAAAAGUUAUUGCUUUUAACCAAACGAAUGUUUUUCCAUCUCGUAACAAAUAUCAGUUGACAAGUUAUUACUUGUAAUUAACUGUAUAUCUUGCAAUGUCUUUACAGUUAACAAGUUAUAAGGGAAUACUUGAAAUUCGCGAUUAUCUACAUAAACUAAACCUUUUCUUGGGGUUCAAGUCUACGUGUCAAUAGUAUACUCUUCUUUGUCUCUUUUUUUUACGCCGAUCUUUCGUCUCAUUAUUUUACAUGUGUUCAUGUCUUUGUUUAACGUCUUGUUAGAAUAUCCCCGCUAUCGUGCAUUUCAUUAAGGAGCCGUGAUAAGGAUUGGUUUUUUAAGUUCAACGAAUGUUGUUCUUGAUUAAGGUAAGCUUUUACUAUUUGUUGACAUCAUACUCAUUCACCUCUGGCGUGCACCGGGGGUGUAGAAGUGCUCAGUGACACCGGAUCUUUGGUAACAUAGAUUACAAAUGUGUCAGACGUCGUUAUGUAAGAGACUUUCUUAUACAAUCGUUUGAGCACUACAUUUAGUAUGUCCGGAUAUGUUACAUAGGAAUACUCUUGUUGAGGUGAUCUUGGUGUAUUUAUAUUAUUAUUGCCAUUCAUCUGUCACGUAAAUAAUAUGAGUUGUCAUGCUUUGGGGUUUUUGCAAAGGCCAAUAAAUCUGGUGUAUGUAUGGGUGUUUUUUGCACAGGCCGAUAAAUCUGGUGUAUGUAUGGAGUUUUUGACCACAUUAAUCAAAACAUGAUUAAAUAAUAGUACACAGAACAUUUGUUCAUUUUUCCUU